rnacentral:tRNA from 2 species
UGGGGCGUCGCCAAGCGGUAAGGCAGUGGAUUUUGAUUCCACCAUGCGGAGGUUCGAAUCCUCCCGCCCCAGCCA